rnacentral:snoRNA from 14 species
AGGCGGUGAUGACAAAAAACAUUUCUCGAUGCUGAAACUUACUCGAGAGACCAAAUCACUCUUGUAAUCUUUCGUGAUGCUUGUUUUUAUGCGUGUCUGAGCCUA